UACGUAGGGGGCAAGCGUUAUCCGGAUUUACUGGGUGUAAAGGGGGCGCAGACGGCGAUGCAAGCCAGGAGUGAAAGCCCGGGGCCCAACCCCGGGACUGCUCUUGGAACUGCGUGGCUGGAGUGCAGGAGGGGCAGGCGGAAUUCCUGGUGUAGCGGUGAAAUGCGUAGAUAUAUGGAGGAACACCGGUGGCGAAAGCGGCUCUCUGGCCUGUAACUGACACUGAGGCUCGAAAGCGUGGGGAGCAAACAGG
rnacentral:rRNA from 1 species